AAAAAAUUGUGAAAUAAUUCAAAGAGAAGAGGAAAUGUAAAUCACUGGUGUAAAUUCGAAAUUGAAAAAGUCGUCAAUCGUGAACUCUGAUGCCGAUACGGGGUGGUGCGUCUUAUCGAAACCGGGGCGAGACAGGAGGAAAAUCUUCUAAAGAGAGGAAAAGCUGAAGGGAGGAGACGACGGAAGGGGGGCUGGUACCGGUGACCCAGAUGCGCACGCGACACGAAUUCUAGGGAGAGAAAAAAAACGACAAUAAUGAGGAGACCAGAGAUUAACUGCAACCUCGACAA